AAAUGGCAAGAAAUAUGUUUCUCUUUAAGUUCCCGAACAGAUAUAUGGCAGAGCAGACAUUAAAAAAGGAGUGGAAAUGGAAAAGAGGAAAGGUGCGACUCGAGUGGUGGAAUCCGACAGUGGGUUGUUCCCCAAUCUCUCAAAACAAUGAUACCACUUGAUAUAGCACAAUGUUUAGAGGAACUCUCUAAUGUGCUAAAUAAAGUAAACCACACAAUUUGUUGAAGGAACAACUUCAACGUGUUGUAAGAUAACGCUUUAAGGACAAUCCGAAUUCACGGAUAACAAGAGCUUAAUCCAAAGCCCUUAAAAUACAAGAUCU